rnacentral:lncRNA from 1 species
CUCAGGAUCCCAAAGUGCUGGGAUUAUAGACAUGAGCAACUGCACCCAGCCAUUCACGUUUUUGCAUGUACCUAGGGCUGUUUAUUUUCGUUGCUGAAGAAAAUUCCAUUGUAUGAUUAUACCACAAAUUAUUUAACAAAUAUCAAAUGGAGCCUUUUCUACAGCAGCAUGUACUACAUGCUAACAGUGGCUAAAUUAAGAGUGAGGACUGGGAAGAUUUGAAGAGACAUAAAAGAAGUGUCAGAUACAGACAUUGUGUUUGGAAAAUUGCCUGUAGAAGUAAGGUCAGAUCUACUAUGACAUUAUCUUUCCCCAGAGAGGAUUUAAUUUGUUUUUGCAAGAGGCCUGGAGACACUGGCACCUGAAGAUGACCCUAAUCCAGUGUGAAUAACCGAGGUGAUUCCCAGCUGAGCUACAGUAUCUGGGUUUUCACGCUGUGGGUUCCCUGGCAGCCACCUCCCAUCACUAUGGUGUCCUCGCUUCAGUUUUGACACGACAUCAUUAGCAGCUGCAGACAGUCCUUGUUCCGGCUGAAUAAGAGAGCACAGACGGACUUGGCACUGGGCGCACACCAGGAGGGUCCGAGGCGGGGCCGCGGGGACCUGCUCUUGGGAGCGCGGACAGAGCCCCACUGUCCCUCUCCCCAGGGCCGUGCUCGUCAAAGACGGACAGGCAGUGGCUACACAUGAAGCCACGAAUGCCUUGAACUCGGCUCUGGACCUGAUUUCUUAUUUAACUGAAGGACAAAGAAGAAAAGAACAAAAACACCCAUCAGCACGCCGUGGCGUCCCCUCGGACUCGCAAUCACUGCAGCGGGAUUUCCAAGCUCCCCUUCCCAGGGCACAGGCGGGAGGACCUCCGCGAUGGUGGGGGCGGAGGAGGCUCCACCCUGACAGCUUCCUAUAACCCCACUGACCCGUGCCACAUGGGUCACAGCAUUGCAGAAUUACAGCUUUGAGAAUAAUUUAGGAACAGAAAAUUUGUGAUUAUAAUAUGCUGAGUUUUAAAGCUAAGAUAUAAAAUCAUAUUCACACUGAAUACCACUAACAAAAUAUUCAUAUGCAAAUCAGGUUAAAAUAUACGCCAACAGGAUUCAUAGAAGUUGUAUGUUAGGUAGUAGAAAGUGAUAGAAAGAUUGUUUUGUAGCUAUAUCACACUUAGGCUGAAUGCAAUUUAAAAAUAGGCAUUAUUAUUACAUGUUAUCAAAUUGCAGUGGGGGCUCUAUAACAAAAAGGAUCACUUUUUUAAGGAAACAUAAAGGAGAUGAUAAGAAAAAACCCCACCCUAUUGUAUUAUCAAUUGUAAAGUCAUAUUUGCAAUGUACCUUUCCUUUUCUUUUAAUAAAAUAAGCAUAAACUGUUUUCUUUAAAGACUAUCCUACAAGAUGUGAGGCAAGGGAGUGAACGUCCUUGCUAGGCCCGGCUCCUCCUCAUUGCCCCUCCUCUGCCUCAGCCCAGGACACAAUGUAUUAUACGUGAACCAUCACUGCACAUGCUAGAUACACAAUAAAAGUUAGUGCCAUUCUUUCUCCUCUCUUCUUAUAUGGAUCCUUUCCAUUCAUUUAUUGCAUCUUAUAAAAGUAAUACAUCUUAAUAAUAGUAAAUUAUUUAUAGAGAAUAAGAUAGAACAUACCAUAUACGAUUACAUAGAAAAGGAAAUAACAAUACACAUUUCCAUAGCAUUCAACAUAUACUCAGUAUUGUUCAAUGCCCUUUGUACACAUUAUCUCCUUUAAUCCUCAAGCGGUCCUAUGAAGAUGGAUUACCCUCAUUUUACAGUUAAAGAAACUGAGGACAAAUAAGUUAAAUAACUUGCCCAAUUUAGAUUUUCACAAAACUACCUUAAAAUUUUGAUUUGUCUAAGGCUAAUUUUACAAGGUAAUUCCAAAUUAAUUGGCAUGUUUAGUAUAAUAAAUCUUUCUUUCCAUGAACACUGUUUUCUAUUUUUAUUUUAUUUUGUUAAUUUAUUUUUGAGACAGUGUCUCACCCUGUCCCCUAGCCUGGAGUGCAGAGGCAUGAACAUGGCUCAUUGCAGCAGUAAGCUCCUGGGCUCAAGCAAUGUCCCUACCUCAAUCUCCCAACGUGCUGGGAUUACAGGUGUAAGCCACCACACCAAGCCGCUAUUUAUUUAUUUUUAAUUUUUUCUUUCAUAAAUUGUGUAGUUUCCACAUAGAGGUCUUGUAAAAUUUCUACUGUGUUCAUUUCUAGAAAUGUUAUAGUUUGAGUUGUUAUUGUAAAUUGAAUUGUUUUGUAUUACAUUUUUAUAAUUGGAUAUUGUCACUAUGCAGGGGAAUAAUAUUUAUUUGUUGUUCUUAUUUUAAUCUCUAUUUUGUUGCUAUACUCAGAGUUUCUAAUAUAAACACAGCAUCUGCCAAAAAUGUUAACUAGUUCCUUUCUUUCUUUUUUAACUUCAUAUCUAAUCCCUAAUUGGAUAGAUUUUUGUUACUAUUCUUUGUUAAUGUAUCUAUUUAUAUUU